AUACAGAGGGUGCAAGCGUUAAUCGGAAUUACUGGGCGUAAAGCGCGCGUAGGCGGUUUGAUAAGUCGGAUGUGAAAUCCCUGGGCUCAACCUGGGAACUGCAUUCGAAACUGUCUGACUAGAGUAUGGUAGAGGGUGGUGGAAUUCCUAGUGUAGCGGUGAAAUGCGUAGAUAUUAGGAGGAACAUCAGUGGCGAAGGCGACCACCUGGACCAAUACUGACGCUGAGGUGCGAAAGCGUGGGGAGCAAACAGGAUUAGAAACCCUAGUAGUCC
rnacentral:rRNA from 1 species